UACGGAGGGUGCAAGCGUUAUCCGGAUUUACUGGGGUUAAAGGGUGCGUAGGUGGGUAGGUAAGUCAGUGGUGAAAUCUUCGAGCUUAACUCGGAAACUGCCAUUGAUACUAUUUAUCUUGAAUACUCUGGAGGUAAGCGGAAUAUGUCAUGUAGCGGUGGAAUGCUUAGAUAUGACAUAGAACACCAAUUGCGAAGGCGGCUUACUACAUAGUUAUUGACACUGAGGCACGAAAGCGUGGGGAUCAAACAGG
rnacentral:rRNA from 1 species